GAUGAACGCUGGCGGCGUGCUUAACACAUGCAAGUCGAACGGGAAUUAUUUUAUUGAAACUUCGGUCGAUUUAAUUUAAUUCUAGUGGCGGACGGGUGAGUAACGCGUGGGUAACCUGCCUUAUACAGGGGGAUAACAGUCAGAAAUGGCUGCUAAUACCGCAUAAGCGCACAGAGCUGCAUGGCUCAGUGUGAAAAACUCCGGUGGUAUAAGAUGGACCCGCGUUGGAUUAGCUGGUUGGUGGGGUAACGGCCCACCAAGGCGACGAUCCAUAGCCGGCAUGAGAGGGUGAACGGCCACAUUGGGACUGAGACACGGCCCAGACUCCUACGGGAGGCAGCAGUGGGGAAUAUUGCACAAUGGGGGAAACCCUGAUGCAGCGACGACGCGUGAAGGAAGAAGUAUCUCGGUAUGUAAACUUCUAUCAGCAGGGAAGAUAGUGGCGGUACCUGACUAAGAAGCCCCGGCUAACUACGUG
rnacentral:rRNA from 1 species